rnacentral:rRNA from 1 species
CCUACGGGGGGCUGCAGUGGGGAAUAUUGCGCAAUGGGGGAAACCCUGACGCAGCAAUACCGCGUGAGUGAAGAAGGUUUUCGGAUCGUAAAACUCUUUUAUUGGGGAAGAAGAAGUGACGGUACCCAAUGAAGAAGUCCCGGCUAACUACGUGCCAGCAGCCGCGGUAAUACGUAGGGGACAAGCGUUGUCCGGAAUCACUGGGCGUAAAGGGCGCGUAGGCGGUUUUAUAAGUCAGAUGUGAAAGGUACCGGCUCAACCGGUGACGUGCAUUUGAAACUGUAAGACUUGAGUACUGGAGAGGCAAGUGGAAUUCCUAGUGUAGCGGUGAAAUGCGUAGAUAUUAGGAGGAACACCGGUGGCGAAGGCGGCUUGCUGGACAGAUACUGACGCUGAGGUGCGAAAGCGUGGGGAGCGAACAGGCUUAGAUACCCCAGUAGUC